AUGGAGAUUAAGAUGGAGUCACUUGAACUCAAAGACAAUGGUGAAAACCAACCAUCUUUAGAAGCUUCUAUUGCUUCAGAUGUGAUAUAUGACAAAGCACCUGUAUGUCCACACAUUGGAAGUGAAUACCAGGCAGAAAUCCCCAAUCUGUCCACAGAGGUUGAGCGCCAUCGGCUCAUGACCAGCACACCAGAAAGCAUCGUACUUGGUUAUGAUUACCCUGGUAUGAUUGGGUUAGCUAUACCAAUCAUGUGGGUACCAAGUGAAGUCCAUAAGGAGGACGAUUUGCGAAGGCAGCAUUCUUCAGAAUCCGAAGCAAGAGCUAGCGACCAAGGCGAGGAUAGUCAGGUGACCUCAAUUUACCCAAUCAGAAAUAAUACAAAUGCCCAUGAUUCAACAUACCAGGAUCAACAUUCAAUGCUGCCUGUUAAUCAGAUAGAAUCUUGCAUCAAUCAAGCACAUGAUGAGAACUUGGCUCCAUUCUCUACUCAAGAAGGUCCAGGUUUUAUCAAUAAGUCGUUGACCCAGCAAGGGGAAAUCGAGCAAUUUACUCCAUUGCCUGGUUUGCCCAGUUCGCUUUGGAGUGGUACUGAGGCAGAAUGUUUUAUUCUCGGGCUCUACAUUUUCGGCAAAAAUCUAAGCCUGUUGAGCAGGUUUCUUGGUAAUAAGACCGUUGGGGAUGUACUCUCAUACUACUAUGGAAUGUUCUACAAAAUAAAUGCUUAUAAAAGAUGGUCGGACUGCAGAAAAGCAAGAACUACGAGAUGCAUUAUUGGGGAACGCGUCUUUACAGGUUGGCGGCAGCAGGAGAUUAUAUCUCGUUUGAAAUCUGUAAUCCUCGAAGGAGUUCAUGAUUCAUUGGUCGAGAUUUUCAAAUCUUUCAACGCCGGACAAGCAUCUUUAGAGGAUCUUGUCUUGGCUAUAAAAUCCUCUGUUGGAACAGAAGCUUUUGUGGAGGCUGUUGGAAUUGGUAAAGGGAAGCAUGAUUUGACUGGAUAUGUUCUGGACCGAUCUAAACCAAACCAAGCUCUUUCUGUUCACCCUGACAUGCCUACAGGCAAAGAUUGUUCCUUGCUUGCUUCGGAAGAUAUAAUUAAGUUCUUAACAGGUGGUUUCAGAAUAAGCAAGACAAGAUCUAAUGAACUUUUCUGGGAAGCUGUCUGGCCCCGUUUGCUUGCAAGAGGGUGGCGUUCAGAGCAGUCAAAAGAUGUCAGAACAACUAAGAAUUGCCUUGUGUUUCUUGUGCCAGGUAUCAAAAAAUUCUCAAGAAGGAAACUCACUAAAGGCACUCAUUAUUUUGAUUCUGUCAGCGAUGUUCUUAAGCGAGUUGCGGCGGAUCCCGUUCUUCUUGAGGUAGAAGUUGGCGGAGCGGACAAUGGUGUUACUGCUGAGCAGUGUGGAUAUGCUACAGACAUGAGUCUGAACCAUGAUGGUCCUUUGGAUGGAUAUCAGGAGCUUCCAAAGUUCACAAUUAUCGAUACUACCUUGGUCCAAGGGGAAGAGCCCUUCAGAGUCAGAGAGCUGAGGAAAUUACCACCUGAUGUAAAUGUCCAUUUUGGUCCUUCACGUCAUUCUUAUAAUACUGUGAGUGUCAGUUCUUCAGAGGAGCAAGAUGCGGAAGAUCAAUCAUCAGAUGACCAGGCAGAUUGUCGACAAGUUACAGCUGAUGUGGAUGAUGCCGAAAUAGUUUCAGUAUGCCAUGCAGGCAAAGAAAACCAAGUCAAUUCAUUGCAAAACAUGUUGGCUGCACCAUCCUCGAGUUUUCCAGUCAAUGGCCAUUCUUCUAAUGGCAGUAUUGAAAAAACUGAUAUGACAUGCCUCUUUGGUCCCAAAACAAAAACUGAAAGGCUCAAGUAUUUAACCCCAGUGUCAAAGCAGAAGCUUAUCCAGCUGUAG
rnacentral:rRNA from 1 species